UUUUUUUUUAGAUUUUUAUUUAUUUAUUUUUGGAGAAUUUUUUUUUUAGUUUGUUUUGGUUCCCAAUAUAUAAUCUCCACUAGAAGCUAAAUGCAAAAUGUGAUUUCAUUAGGGAAAAG